UACAGAGGUCUCAAGCGUUGUCCGGAUUCAUUGGGCGUAAAGAGCGUGUAGGCGGCCAGGUAGGUCGGUUGUGAAAACUGGAGGCUCAACCUUCAGAGGUCGACCGAAACCAUCUGGCUAGAGUCCGGGAGAGGAGAGUGGAAUUCCUGGUGUAGCGGUGAAAUGCGUAGAUAUCGAGAGGAACACCUGCGGCGAAGGCGGGUAGCUGGGCCGACACUGACGCUGAUGCGCGAAAGCCAGGGGAGCGAACGGG
rnacentral:rRNA from 1 species